CGUUAUGGCGGCUUGACAGGACAGCUUUAUGCUGGCCGUACCUUGUGAGCGGUAUUUCCUACUCCUGUUAAGCUGCCACCAUC
rnacentral:antisense_RNA from 1 species